rnacentral:rRNA from 1 species
GACGGAGGGUGCUAGCGUUGUUCGGAAUGACUGGGCGUAAAGCGCGUGUAGGCGGCAGCGUGUGUCGGGCGUGAAAUCCCACGGCUCAACCGUGGAAGUGCACCCGAAACUGCGCAGCUAGAGUCCUGGAGAGGAAGGUGGAAUACUUGGUGUAGAGGUGAAAUUCGUAGAUAUCAAGUGGAACACCUAUGGCGAAGGCAGCUCUCUGGGACGGUACUGACGCUGAGACGCGAAAGCGUGGGGAGCGAACAGG